CAGGAGGCAAAUGAGAGCCAAGAGGGUUGUGGCACUUGUGGUUUAUUUUAGAGGUGGUUUAUUCUCUGAAAAGAGAAAAAAAAAAAAAAAAAGAAAGAAACAGAAGAAAAAAAAAGAAAGAAAGAAAGAAACAUUCUGAAAUUUUCACAUGGAAUAGAGAUCUCGUCUGCGUCCUGCUGAGUUGCUUUAAAGAAAACUUUGGUCUCCAAAGACAUCAGUGAGAAAACUAACAAGAGCAUUUUGGGAGAAUAACUAUUUGAUGCCAGAAGGACACUCGGGAUGAAAUUCAGUUGUCUAAACUGGCAUCUAUGGUCCUUGCUAGACCUCGUGGGACAGUGUCUGAGAGAACUGCACCAGGCUGGCUGACAUUAUGUGGGACCUAGGGGAGCUCUGUGCCCUCAUGGCAAAACAGAGCAACACAAGAGGCAUUCACACAAUCUACUCUGGCAGAACAGUGACGGAGGCAAUAACUUCUAGAAAGAGGGCAGCUGAGGACAGAGAUUUCUACCAAACAGUACAUUUGGAUCU
ensembl:lncRNA